UGGGGAGACCUGGAGAGCAAGGAAGGAGGACGGCGCUAGGUUCCCACACAGAGGGAGCAAUAGAGAAGAGACAGGGCGGUUCGCAGGUCUGAGACCCUGAAAGAAGUGCAAAGAGGAGUCCCACCUGGAAGGACUCGAUGAGGGAGGGAAGAGGAUGGAUCUCACCCGGAAAGGGGACAGAGAAGCGUGGGGUCCCAUCCGGACAGAGGAGACUGAGAAACAAGGGUCUUUCCCAGGAGUAGCUGGGAAGAAGGGACCGGGUGGCGCGGGGUCCCGCCUAGGAGGAGGGGACAGGGCGGCGCGGGGAUCCGGUCUCCAUGCAGCCCGCCUGCGGCCUCCCUCCGGCUCGCACGCGCUCACCUGAAGGCCGGCUCCUCCUUGGGCGGCCGGGCCUGGGCGGACGCUGCGCCGCCGCCCCUUUUGUUGAAGAGCUUCUGGAGCAGGGUCGGGGCCAUGGCGUGCACGCGGCUGCCCGGGCGGCCACGCUCCGGGACCCGACGGCUCAGCGCGCAGCCCAAGGCGGCCGC
rnacentral:lncRNA from 1 species